UUGCUCAGUCGAUGUCAUUUCUGCGUGUUAGGUUUGUGAUUUCCAAACCUUUUAGAUUUUACUUUCGUUUCAUAAUCCAUUAAAUAUGGGUUUUUAUUUUUAAAAUCACAAAAUUAAGUUAUUGUAUACGAAGAGGCAGAGAGUUGAUACACAAAAAACCUUGGGUUUUAAGCACGAGCUACUUGAGAUAAGAUAUGAUGGAUGUGACUGUGAAAACCCUGGAUGGACAGAACAGGAAUUACAGUGUUCCUGAGGAUAUAACUGUAAAACAGUUUAAAGAGAAAAUUGCGAAUUCAAUAAACAUAUCGGCUGAGAUUCAGAGGCUGAUAUUUCAGGGCCGGGUGAUGCAAGAUGAAAAACAAAUGAAAGAUUACGGUGA